GAUGAACGCUGGCGGCGUGCCUAAUACAUGCAAGUCGAGCGAAGCGGGGACGGGUGAGUCCCACGUGUCUACCCUCCUAUAAGACUGGGAUACCUUCGGGAAACCGGAGCUCCACCGGAUCCUUAUAGGUGGAUCCUCGCUGCAUUAGCUAGUUGGUAAGGUAACGGCUUACCAGGACAACGAUGCAUAGCCGACCUGAGAGGGUGAUCGGCCACACUGGAACUGAGACACGGUCCAGACUCCGACGAGAGGCAGCAGUAGGGAAUCUUCCGCAAUGGGCGAAAGCCUGACGGAGCAACGCCGCGUGAGUGAUGAAGGUCUUCGGAUCGUAAAACUCUGUUAUUAGGGAAGCGGUACCUAAUCAGAAAGCCACGGCUAACUACGUGCCAGCAGCCGCGGUAAUUC
rnacentral:rRNA from 1 species